AGCCUGAACGCUGGCGGCGUGGCUAAGACAUGCAAGUCGCACGGGCCUAGCAAUAGGUCAGUGGCGAACGGGUGAGUAAUGUAUCGCUAACGUACCCCGGACUCUGGGAUAGCUGCCCGAAAGGGCAGGUAAUACCGGAUGAGACCCUGGCCCCGCAUGGGGUUGUGCUCAAAGGUCCGCCGGUCUGGGGAGCGGGGCGUAGGUACAACGGUACGCCAAGUACGUAGUGGCGGGUAACGGCCCACCAAGCGACGACGCGUAGCCGGACUGAGAGCGCGGCGACA
rnacentral:rRNA from 1 species